rnacentral:lncRNA from 1 species
ACAAUAUUGUUUGAUGAACAACUAUGAAUUAACUAUUUAUUCUUGGUAAUACAGUAAUCCAAUAAAACUCCCAAAGAUCCUUAUGAAAAGUGCCAUCCACUUUUAGAGAAAGAACUGAUGGAUUUUGAAUGCUUACUGAAACAUACUAUAUUUCACUUUCUUUUCUUUUUCUUUCUUUUUGGUUCAAGAUCUCUUCCACAAAAUGACUAAUAUGAAAAAAUGUUUUCCAUAAUUGCACAUGCCAAAUCUACAUCAGAUUGCUUACCAUCUCAGGGAGUGGGGAAGGGAGUGUAGUCUUGCCCUGCUCCCAGGGGGAUUUAACAUCUGGCACUCGAACAGGGACCUGGGUGACCGACAAAUCAUUGGGGAACAAGCGCAUCAAGAAGGAACCACAGAAAACACAGCAAGGAUGAUGGUCUUGGGGAAUCAAAACAAAAGGGCUAAGCAUUGGAAAAGAGAGAGACAUAAAAGCAGAAGUGGGCAGCAGCCAGACACCUCUUUGACCUCCAUAAUGGAAACAAAGCACAAA